rnacentral:rRNA from 1 species
AUUGAACGCUGGCGGCAGGCCUAACACAUGCAAGUCGAACGGUAACAGGAAGAAGCUUGCUUCUUUGCUGACGAGUGGCGGACGGGUGAGUAAUGUCUGGGAAACUGCCUGAUGGAGGGGGAUAACUACUGGAAACGGUAGCUAAUACCGCAUAACGUCGCAAGACCAAAGAGGGGGAGCUUCGGGCCUCUUGCCAUCGGGUGUGCCCAGAUGGGAUUAGCUAGUAGGUGGGGUAACGGCUCACCUAGGCGACGAUCCCUAGCUGGUCUGAGAGGAUGACCAGCCACACUGGAACUGAGACACGGUCCAGACUCCUACGGGAGGCAGCAGUGGGGAAUAUUGCACAAUGGGCGCAAGCCUGAUGCAGCCAUGCCGCGUGUAUGAAGAAGGCCUUCGGGUUGUAAAGUACUUUCAGCGGGGAGGAAGGGAGUAAAGUUAAUACCUUUGCUCAUUGACGUUACCCGCAGAAGAAGCACCGGCUAACUCCGUG